GAUGAACGCUGGCGGCGUGCCUAAUACAUGCAAGUCGAGCGAACGGACGAGAAGCUUGCUUCUCUGAUGUUAGCGGCGGACGGGUGAGUAACACGUGGAUAACCUCCCUAUAAGACUGGGAUAACUUCGGGAAACCGGAGCUAAUACCGGCUAAUAUUUUGAACCGCAUGGUUAAAAAGUAAAAGACGGUCUUGCUGUCACUUAUAGAUGGAUCCGCGCUGCAUUAGCUAGUUGGUAAGGUAACGGCUUACCAAGGCAACGAUGCAUAGCCGACCUGAGAGGGUGAUCGGCCACACUGGAACUGAGACACGGUCCAGACUCCUACGGGAGGCAGCAGUAGGGAAUCUUCCGCAAUGGGCGAAAGCCUGACGGAGCAACGCCGCGUGAGUGAUGAAGGUCUUCGGAUCGUAAAACUCUGUUAUUAGGGAAGAACAUAUGUGUAAGUAACUGUGCACAUCUUGACGGUACCUAAUCAGAAAGCCACGGCUAACUACGUG
rnacentral:rRNA from 1 species